rnacentral:rRNA from 1 species
GGAUUAGAUACCCUGGUAGUCCACGCCCUAAACGAUGUCAACUAGUUGUCGGGUCUUAAUUGACUUGGUAACGCAGCUAACGCGUGAAGUUGACCGCCUGGGGAGUACGGUCGCAAGAUUAAAACUCAAAGGAAUUGACGGGGACCCGCACAAGCGGUGGAUGAUGUGGAUUAAUUCGAUGCAACGCGAAAAACCUUACCUACCCUUGACAUGGUCGGAAUCCUCCAGAGAUGGAGGAGUGCUCGAAAGAGAACCGGCGCACAGGUGCUGCAUGGCUGUCGUCAGCUCGUGUCG